CCUGGCGUCCAUAGAGCGGUGGAACCACCUGUUCCCAUCCCGAACACAGCAGUGAAACGCCGCAUCGCCGAUGAUAGUGUGGGGC
rnacentral:rRNA from 1 species